rnacentral:rRNA from 1 species
CCUACGGGAGGCUGCAGUGAGGAAUAUUGGUCAAUGGUCGGGAGACUGAACCAGCCAAGCCGCGUGAGGGAUGAAGGUACAGAGUAUCGUAAACCUCUUUUGUCAGGGAACAAAGGCGGGGACGUGUCCCAGGAUGAGUGUACCUGAAGAAAAAGCAUCGGCUAACUCCGUGCCAGCCGCCGCGGUAGUACGGAGGAUGCGAGCGUUAUCCGGAUAUAUUGGGUUAACAGGGUGCGCAGGCGGUCUGUUAAGUCAGCGGUCAAAGCACGGGGCUCAACCCCGGCCCGCCGUUGAAACUGGCAGUCUCGAGUUGGAGAGAAGUAUGCGGAAUGCGCGGUGUAGCGGUGAAAUGCAUAGAUAUCGCGCAGAACUCCGAUUGCGAAGGCAGCAUGCCGGCUCCACACUGACGCUGAGGCACGAAAGCGUGGGUAUCGAACAGGAUUAGAUACCCGUGUAGUC